rnacentral:rRNA from 1 species
UACGUAGGGGGCUAGCGUUGUCCGGAAUCAUUGGGCGUAAAGCGCGUGUAGGCGGUCCGGUAAGUCCGCUGUGAAAGUCGGGGGCUCAACCCUCGAAUGCCGGUGGAUACUGUCGGGCUAGAGUACGGAAGAGGCGAGUGGAAUUCCUGGUGUAGCGGUGAAAUGCGCAGAUAUCAGGAAGAACACCAACGGCGAAGGCAGCUCGCUGGGACGGUACUGACGCUGAGACGCGAAAGCGUGGGGAGCGAACAGG